AGACCCAGGCGCGGCGUUUUACCUGCAGCGGCUGUGCUCGCCCCGCCGCGACCCCCGCAGGACGGAGCCGGAUCCCCCUGCACUCGGGCGGACCUGGGACCCUCAGAGGCGAGCCGGCUGCCUCGGGUCACACAUCCGCGAACUCCGGGGGCGGGCUCCCCAGGACGCCGCCGACCCCCCACGACCCCCAGCCCUCCCGCUUCCGUGGAAAGCCGCCCCGACGACCCCUGUGCGGGCUGUUGAGGGGCCGCACCCCGCCGACCGCUGUGGGAACACCUCCGCGCGUGCGGCGGGGACGCGGCGAGUCCGGGGCAGGAAGAACGCACGGAUGGAGACAACAGGAAGGAAAGAGACCUUCCUGGUCACACUUGGGCCACAGGAGAACAGGCAGCGGCCCAGGAGGAUCCAGGGUCCUGAUGGUGGUUGAGAAGCUGGUUCUUAGUGAUCACUCAGAAACGUCGGCCUGGCCUUGUGGGGUCAGACCUUGCAUCUCAGUCAGCCCAGGGAGAAGAAGAAGAUGGUCCACACCCAAGUGCAGGGAACAUCGUGGCAGUCGGCUGGGUGCCUGCGUCCAGGCGAGGACACCUCCCGCAUCAGGGAAACACACGUUUCUGGAGUGAGGAGGCUGAAGGCAGGGCCCAGAGGAGAGCUGAGCCAUGGAAGGAGGUGUGUGCAUGGAUGGUGAGCUAGAGCAGGUGCAGGUGCCUCAGGGAGGAUGUGUGGGACGAACUGACUCAGGGAACCAUAAGAAAUGCUUUCACCAAACAGGAGAAACCUGAAGGUCUGGGUCCAGAGCCUCAGAUCUUACACUGGCAGCACACAGGGACACAACAGUUGGACUGGCAGCAACAGGGCUUGCAGCAGCUGGACUGGCAGCACACGGGGACACAGCAGCUGGACUGGCAGCAGCAGGGCUUGCAGCAGCUGGACUGGCAGCAGGAUGAUCCACAGCCUGAGGAGCAGCAACAGGGCUUACAACAGCUGGACUGGGAGCAGCCACAAGAACCACAGCCCCCCUUGGAACCCCCACAGGAGCCACAGCCCCCCUUGGAGCCCCCACAGGAGCCACAGCCCCCCUUGGAGCCCCCACAGGAGCCACAGCUGGUGCAGGAACAGGCUGGCACCCAGGAGCACACGGGCUUGCAGCAGCAGACAGGCACAUAACAUCUGGAGCCACAUCCCCCACAGCUGGAGCUGCAGCCCCCACAGCCAGAGCCACAGCCCCCACGGCCGGAGCCACAGCCCCCACAGCCAGAGCCACAACCCCCACAGCUGGAGCCACAGCCCCCACAGCCGGAGCCACAGCCUCUGGAGCAGCCACAGCAGCCCAUGGUUCUGGUGGAUUGAGGGUGGAGCAGGUAGAGGAGCAGGUGAGAGGGAGGUGCAGGUGUGGAGCUCCCUGAGCCUGGGCUCUUUAUAUACCUGUCCAGAUGUCAGGCAUGACACAGGGUCCCUUUCUUGUGACUGUUUACACUAUUUUUCCAGAGCUCUAUUUUUUUCCUCUUUGCUAGUGACUUCCUUCUGGCUCAGUUGAGCAUCUACUUUCUUUGUUUUCUAAAUUUGUCUUUUUCCCCAUUUGUUUUGGCCCCUACAAUUAAAACCUCAGCUCCAGGCUGUCUGGUUCUUCCUGCAAAGCUCCAGGGUGCUGGUCACCUGCUCUCUGCUGACCACAUGUGACCAAUGGGCAACAGCCUCUGCCCACGUGCUCUCAUCUUUCCUGUGUUGACUCCCUCAAUAAUAUUAAUUUUACAUUUUUAGAUUUCAAAAUUAUCCACGAUCUUUAUACUCAUGCCAGUCUCAGCUUUCCGGGUGUGUUAGACCAUUCUUUGCAUUGCUCUAAAGAAAUACUUGAGGCUGGGUAAUUUAUAAAGGAAAGAGGUUAGAAUGGCUCAUGGUUCUGCAGGCUGCACAAGCAUGGCACCCACCUCUGCUCAGCUUCUGGGGAGGCCCUCAGGGAGUUUUCCUCACGGUGGAAGGCGAAGCAGGAACAGGCACACCACAUGGUGAGAGUGGGAGCAAGGGGUGAGGAGGAGCCACACACUUGUGAACAACCAGAUCUGAGUGAACACACUCAUCGCCAAGGGGGUGGCACUAAGUCACUCAUGAGGGAUCCACCCCCAUGACCCAGACACCUCCCUGCAGGCCCCUCCUUCAACACUGGCCAACAACUAUAUGAAAAAAUGCUCCACAUCACUAACUAUUCGGGGAAUGUAAAUCGAAACCACCACGAGAUACCAUCUCAUAUCAGUCAGAAUGGCUUUUGAUAAAAAGUAAAAAACAAAACAAAACAAAAAAACCUAAAAUCAGAUGCUGGCAAAGCUUGAGAGAGAAGGGAACACUUGUACACUGUCGGUGGGAAUGUAAAUGAAUUCAGCCACCACGGAGAGCAGUUUGGAGAUUUCUCAAAGAGCUAAGAAUUGAACUACUAUUUGACCCAGCAAUCUCAUGAUUGGGUAUAUACCCAAAGGAAAAUAAAUCAAUCUACCAAAAAGACACAUGCAUCCAUAUGUUAAUUGCAGUGCUAUUCACAAAAGCAAAGAUGUGGAAUCAACCCAGGUGCCCAUCAAUGGUGGAUUGGAUAAAGAAAAUGUGGUACAUAUACACCAUGGAAUACUACACAGCUGCAAAAAAGAACGAAGUCAUAUCUUUUGCAGCAGUAUGGAUGAAGCUGGAGGCCGUUAUCCUAAGGGAACUAAUGCAGAAGCAGAAAACCAAAUACCACAUAUUCUCACUUAUAAGUGAGAGCUAAACUUUGAGUCCACAUGGACAUAAAGAUGAAAACCAUAGACACUGGGGAACAAGAGGAGGGAGGAAGGGAGGGAGGGGGCAAAGGCUGAAUACUGGGGAACAAGAGGAGAGAGCAAGGGGGCAAGGACUGAAAAACUACUGGGUACCACAGUCACUAUUUUGGUGAUGGAUUCAUUCAUACUCCAAACCUCAGCAUCACACAAUAUACCCAUGUGAAAAACCUGCACAUGUACUGCCUGAUUCUAAAAUAAAAGUUGAAGAAAAAGUUCUUUAUAUACUCUAGAUACUAGAUGCUUAUCAGAUAUCUGAUUUGUAAAUCUUUUCUUCCUUUAUUAUGUAGACUGUUCUUUCACUUUGUUGAUAGCGUCCUUUGGUGCAAAAAUAUUUAACUUUUGAUGGCAUCCAAUGUAUUUGUAUUUCUCUUUUGUUGCUGGUGCUUUUGGUGUCCUAUCUAUGAAUCCACACCGAAUCCAAGGUCAUGUUUUCUUUUAAUAGUUUUAUAGAUUUGACUCUUAAAUGUAGGCCUUUUGACCCAUUUUAAAUUAAUUAGUGUAUGUGGUGUGAAGUAGGGGUCCAGCUCAUUCCUGUGCAUGUGGAUGUCUAGUUUCCCAGCAUCAUUUGUUGAAGUACUGCUCUUCCUCCAUUGAAUGAUCUGGCACCCUGUCAAAAAUCAGUUGGUCAUCUACAUGAGGGUUUAUUUCUGGCUCUCAAUUCUAUUCCACUGGUUUAUACAUUUAUUCUAACAACAGUGCUAAACUGCCCUGAUGACUGCAGCUUUGUAGUAAGUUUUCAAAUUGGCAAGUGUGAGCCCUCCAACAUUGUUCUUCUUUUUAACCUUGUUUUAGCUAUUCCGGGUCCCUUGAGAUUCCACAUGAACUUUAAAAUCAGCCUGUGAAUUUCUACAAAGAAGCCAGCUGCUUUCCUGAUAGAGAUUGCAUAGACUCUGUAGAUCAAUUUUGGGGGUAUUGCCAUCUGAAAAAUGUUAAGUCUCCUGAUACAUGAACAUCAGUCUGCUUUUGGGCUGCCAUAACAAAAUACCACGGAUUUGGUGGCCCAACAACAGGCAUUUAUUUUCUCACAAUUCAGAAGUCCAAGAUCGGGUGCAAGCAACUUUUGUUUCUGGUGAGGGCUCUCUCCUUUGGUUGCAGAUGGCCGCUUUCCCACUCUUUGCUCACAUGGCCUUUCCUUUGUGUGUGGAGAGAGAAAGAGUUGGAGGGAGGAAGAGAGAGAGAGAGAGAGAGAGAGAAAGAGAGAGCGAGACAGAGGCAAAUGCUCCCUGGUGUCUCUUCUUAUGAAGAUGCAAAUCCUGUGGAAGCCCUUAUGACCUUACGUAACCUUAAUUUCUUCCUUGGAGAACUCGUCUCCAUAUACAACCACAAUGGGAGUGAUGGAUUCAACAUAUGAAUUUGAAAGAACAUGAAUAUUCAGUCCACAACAAAUCUGGGAUGUUUUAGAUCUUCUUUAGUUUCUUUCAACAGUGUUUUGUCACUUUCAGAGUUGCAAGUGAGUAGAAAUACAAUUGAUUUUUAUAUAUUGGUCCUGUAUUCUGAAAACUUGCUGGAUUCAUUUAUUAGUUCUAUAAUCUAUAAAACACUGGCCGAGCACGAUGGCUCAUGCCUAUAAUCCCAGCAAUUUGGGAGCCCAAGGCAGGUGGAUCACAUGAGGCCAAGAGUUCAAGACCAGCCAGGCCAACAUGGUGAAACCUCAUCUCUACUAAAAAUAUAAAAACUAGCUGGGCACGGUGGUGCAUGCCUGUAAUCACAGCUACUUGGGAGGCUGAGGUGGAAGAAUUGCUUGAACCAAGGAGGCAGAGGUUGUAGUAAGCUGACAUUGUGCCACUGCACUCCAACAACCGAGCGAGACCCUGUCUCAAAAAAAAAAUCUAUAAAACAUUAGUAGCUCUUACAAAUUGACAAGUAGAAUACAAACAACCAAGUUUUUAAAAAGAUGAUUCUCUGAUAAACAAAUGGAAGUGUGCAAUUAAAAAUAUAAAAAGUAAAUCAGACUCACUGGUAGUCAGAUACACGGGAUCUUUUCUGUGGAGUCCUAAUGAUGGAAAAGGAGCCAGGUUGGUUGGACCAAGGGAAAGCAAAAAGAGAAGGCAGAUGAACUACAAGUCUGCCUUUCUUCCUGGUGCAGGACUUAGCCCUCCUAUGCAAAUAACUCACAUAACUCACAAUCUUCCUGCACUCAACUUAUGACCUCAGUUGAUAGAAAAAUGCAAAUUAGCUCACUGAAACCUUGGCAUUAUCAGCACUGCAUGUAACCCUCUCCGGCACAAGCACCAUCCUAUAAAAUCCCCAGCAAGCCUUUGUCUCCUGGCAGCCAGCUCCUCCCUUGCUGACCUGCCCUUUCCAUUCUUGCAACGUAUUUUCCUACAUUCUCUAAUAAAUCUGCCUUUCCUUACCUACAACUGUCUUGGUAAAUUCCUUUUCUGCCCACGCUAGUGGACUCAGUUAGUGGCUACCUGCAACAUUUUAUAUCUACUAGACUGACCAAAAUUAACAAGAAUAAUAACACCUAUUGCUAGUGAAAUUGGGGGAAAAGGUACUCAUACAUUGUUCUGGGGAUACAAUUUAUUACAGUUUUUUUGAAAACAAUAUCUAAUAAAAUUAGGUCAUAUCAAUACAAUUAGUCUUGAAAUUACUGAAAAAAGAUUAAACGUAAACAUAUUCGUGUAUACAUAUAUGUGUAUGAUCUAUUAUUUACAGUGUCAGAAAAAGAAUCCUAGCAAAUUGAAAAUUAAUACUAAAAGUCAUACCCACUAAAAAAUAAGAUUACACCUGUACCAGUGGACUUGGAGAAAUUUCCUCAAGGCUCUGGCUAGUGUGAAAUGUAGAUGCAGAGAAAUGAGCCCUGUAGGAUCCUAUUUUAGUAGCAAGCAAUAAAAAUAUCUUUUACACAUAUGUUGAGUGUGUGCCUGGGGUACGUAGGACAGUGGCUGGGUGGAGUGGGGAAGGUGUGUAGGAAUCAACAAAAAGCAAAUGACAGUGAAAAGUGAGUCCAGUAUGUGUGAUCCUACUUGUGGAAAAACUCCACAUAUAUGAAUACGCAUGCGCGUAAAGAAACAUAGACUUAUACCCAGAUCUACUUCCUAGGAGAGGCAACCAUGAUACAAGUUCUAGUGAAAAGAAUUAAGUUGCAAAGAAAUGUGGAUAAUAAAAUCCGAAUUGGUAGCAA
rnacentral:lncRNA from 1 species